GAUAGAUAUUGAUAAUCAAAACUAAAUCGCAAUUAUAAUAUUACAAAAUUUUUAAAAAUGUGAACGCUAGACAGGUUCUGGAGUGAGCGCGGCACCCUGCUGAAACAAACUUGAGCUGCACUGCUGAUCUACACCCAGCUGAUCCCUCUUCAGCAGCUGCAAAAGAUUUUCCUAUGUCCUCACAGAUGUUACAUCAACGUGAUUGGUGUCGCAAUGUUGGUUUCGAACACACUGCAUAAUUAAUAUAUCAAACACUAAGCGCAUAAGCACCUUCAGGCUCUUCAAAUCUCCUGAACCUGGCACCUUCAUUCCGGUACAACUACCGGACACUGAACGCAGUACUUCCUUGGCUGAAGUUCAUCUUUCACAGGUGCCUAGCACUAAACGACAUACCCUCUAUAUGGGUGGAAAUUAAGGAUCAGGAGUGUUAGUAGAGAAAUCCAUGAAGACGCUUGACUUACCUCUUAUAUAAAACAGCUGGUCACUUUAUCAUACUUAUUAAAAUAUCCCACUAAAGGAACGUAUGUACCACCCUCUGUCAAAUUCGACAAAAUGUACAAAGUUGUCAGACCAUCCCGUACAGAGUGGGAUAACCUCACACAUCAAAUCGAUAACGACGUCAAUAUACAUACAGUUGGCUUCAAGCUUCUG